rnacentral:lncRNA from 1 species
AAGCUUCUGCCCAGGGUAUUAAGAAAGGAAGCCUACGGUCCUAGCCUAGUGUGUUUGGAGAAGGUGGGGAAGAGGACAGAUGCUGGAGUUAAAGUGCAGAGGGAGCUGAAUGACAGCUGGCUAGUCUCCAUUCUGUGGUCGUUCCCAAGGGUUACUGAAGUCCUAAGCAGAAAGGGUGGUUACAGUAUGGAGAACCCAUCCCCUUAGGAGCAGCCCAACCCCCAUCUUGGCAGCAUAGGCCUGAUAAAUCAAACCUAGUAUUUCUUGCUUCUCUUCUCUUCCUAUUCUGAGAGGUGCCACACUUAGAUGCCUACAACAUGGGAACUGUAAGUGAGGGUGUAUGAGAUGCUCUGAAGACCCAAGGCAUAUCUGGAAAGACCGAUGGCAUCUAUGACUAAGACAUCCAUGGUGGCUUAGGCCCAUAACUGCAAUACUAUCACAGAUGAGGCAGAAGGAGGGGUGCCUUGCAUCCGAAGGCAGUUAGGAACUACAGUCUGAAGGAAGUCUACCUCAAGGAAAUAAAUUAAUUAAUUAACUAAUUAAUUAAAUGGAAGGAAUAGGUUAGCCGAUAGGCAUCAGAAACCUCUAAAAUAUCUCAUCUUAAGGUCGCCAUGUACCUUAGUAGCUGCCAAUUUGUGAUCCUUCACAUCCAGUCCUCCCUGACCCAAAGUUAAACAAGAUAAGAAUCUAAGACUUGAAAUGGCACCUGAGGGCCUAUGGGAAUGGAUACCUGAAAAAAUAUAAAGUUUCAAGCUCCCAGCCUAUAAGAAAGUAACUUUGAACACAGAUUUCUGCUGCUAAAUCACCGUCCCUAAACCUAGCCAAAGGCAGGAGGAGUGGAGUAUUUUCUGGGCAUUCAAGCGUGUACUUCUCACACUUCUAAAUGCUUUGCUUGUUAACUCAUAGGUAAAGAGGCUGCUGUUCAAAGAAGGAACAUGCUUGGCUUCAGCUGUUUGGGAGACUGAGGCAGGAGGGAGGAUUGCAAAUUUAAAGCCAGCCUGUGAGGACAACUUAGUAAGCCUGUGUGCCCCUACCCUACAUUCCCUCACCACACCCCCAGACUCAAGAGUAGAGUUGGGAAUAUAAUCAAUAGGUGUGCUUGUCUAGUACAUACAAGACUCCAGGGUCAACCCCCAGUAUACUACAAAAGAAGGCAAUUAAGUGACUUCCUCAAGGACCCCUUGCCAACAGGGGCAAAUGGAGAACUCAGACCUGUCGUUUUCUGUUUUCAUAGUCUGAUGAGAGUAAAACCUUUGGCAUCUCCAGCUUCCUUUCAUAUUUUACAUCUAUUAUUUAUUUGUGUGAUAUGGAUACAAGUGGAGGUCAGAAGACACUCGCAGCUCUCUCCUUCUACUCUGUGGGUCAUGGGGCUUGAGCUCAGGUCAUCAAGCUUGGUAGCAAAUGUCUUUACCUGGUGAACCAUCUUGCCCUGCCUCACCCCACCCAUUUUUUGAACUGACUGAGUCCUUGAUCCUCCUACCGGGUGUAUGUGUGUGGUAUACAUGUCUAUAUGUGCAAGUGCAUGCACAUACACACACAGAGUAAUGAAUUUUUUAAAGUCCAGAGGAUCAGCCUCACUUUUAUCAUAUAUAAAUGUAAAAUUGAAAUAGGUUAAAUAUAUAAAUGUGAAAAGUUGUUUUUGGAAUUUUAAAGAAGAAUAUAGGAGAACAUCUUUUUUAAUUUGUUAAAGUCUAGACUCACAACCAAAAAUAUUUUAAUUUGUUGUUUUGGUUUUUUGAGGCAGGGUCUCACCAUGUAGCCCAGGAUAGUCUUGAACUGAGACUCUCUUGCAUUUACCUCCUAAGGUAAAACUCAUAGGGUUAUAAGUCUAUGCUAUGUGGCCUAGAAGGAGACAUUUUUAUUGCCUCAGCCCAUAGACAAAUUCUUCAAAUUAUAAACAAUAAUAAAAAAUGAAAAUGAUAAAUUUGAUCACACUAUAGUUUAAAGCUUUAUGAAAAAUAUUUAAAGCUGGAAAUAAUAUCAAGGUCUUCAAAGAUCUAAGAUAGUUUGGAUAUCUAAGAACUUCUAUUCUCCACAAUGCAGUCAAUAAAAUAUGUUCUGUGAGCAAAAUUUCCCAAGAUCAAUAAAUAACUGUGUAUGUGUGCUGUGUGU